rnacentral:piRNA from 1 species
UAGUCUGUGAAAGCAGUUUGCAAUUUGA